rnacentral:rRNA from 1 species
GAAACUAACAAGGAUUCCCCUAGUAGCGGCGAGCGAAGCGGGAAGAGCUCAAAUUUAUAAUCUGGCACCUUCGGUGUCCGAGUUGUAAUCUCUAGAAAUGUUUUCCGCGUUGGACCGCACACAAGUCUGUUGGAAUACAGCGGCAUAGUGGUGAGACCCCCGUAUAUGGUGCGGACGCCCAGCGCUUUGUGAUACAUUUUCGAAGAGUCGAGUUGUUUGGGAAUGCAGCUCAAAUUGGGUGGUAAAUUCCAUCUAAAGCUAAAUAUUGGCGAGAGACCGAUAGCGAACAAGUACCGUGAGGGAAAGAUGAAAAGCACUUUGGAAAGAGAGUUAACAGUACGUGAAAUUGUUGGAAGGGAAACGCUUGAAGUCAGACUUGCUUGCCGAGCAAUCGGUUUGCAGGCCAUCAUCAGUUUUCCGGGAUGGAUAAUGGUAGAGAGAAGGUAGCAGUUUCGGCUGUGUUAUAGCUCUCUGCUGGAUACAUCUUGGGGGACUGAGGAACGCAGUGUGCCUUUUGGCGGGGGUUU